rnacentral:rRNA from 1 species
GGAGGGUGCAAGCGUUGUUCGGAAUUAUUGGGCGUAAAGAGCGUGUAGGCGGUCCGGUAAGUCAGAUGUGAAAGCCCUGGGCUCAACCCAGGAAGUGCAUUUGAAACUACCAGACUUGAGUACGGGAGAGGAGGGGGGAAUUCCCGGUGUAGAGGUGAAAUUCGUAGAUAUCGGGAGGAAUACCAGUGGCGAAGGCGCCCUCUGGACCGAUACUGACGCUGAGACGCGAAAGCGUGGGGAGCAAACAGGAUUAGAUACCCUGGUAGUCCACGCCGUAAACGAUGAGCACUAGGUGUAGCGGGUAUUGACCCCCUGCUGUGCCCGUAGCUAACGCAUUAAGUGCUCCGCCUGGGGACUACGGUCGCAAGACUA